rnacentral:rRNA from 1 species
CAGCCGCCACGGUAAUACGAAGGGGGCUAGCGUUGCUCGGAAUGACUGGGCGUAAAGGGCGCGUAGGCGGCGAUCAAAGUCAGGCGUGAAAUUCCUGGGCUCAACCUGGGGGCUGCGCUUGAUACUUGGUUGCUUGAGUGGGGAAGAGGGUCGUGGAAUUCCCAGUGUAGAGGUGAAAUUCGUAGAUAUUGGGAAGAACACCGGUGGCGAAAGCGGCUCACUGGACAAUAACUGACGCUGAUGCACGAAAGCUAGGGGAGCAAACAGGAUUAGAUACCCCGGUAGUCCCUGUCUCUUAUAC